rnacentral:lncRNA from 1 species
UUGUGAGUGGCUUCAGCUUCUGCAGCACCCCCCGGGCUCUGCGCCCCCUGCACCCCACAGCGCCCGGACCCCAACCCCCGGGUCCCCUCCUGGCUCCCCUGGGACACCCCCAGCCCCUGUAGGGCCAUUGCCCCACAGGACCCCCCCCGGCUCACCAUGGGGUGCAUGGGGAGGGGGUGUAUGCGGGCAGGGAGGGGGGGCAGAGCCCAGCCCCACGGGGAUGUGGGGUGGGGGCCGGGCGGGGGGGGCGCGUGGGGACGGGGACAGGAGCAGAGCGCCCACCCUGCCCUCCGUGCGGGCAUGGGGACGGAGCUGCUGCUGGGGGGGGGGGGACCGGGAACGGGGGGGGGCCCGGAGGACACUGCGAGCCCGUCGGGGGAACGUGCGGCCGGGACGGGACCCCCCUGCCCCCCCCAGGGCCCUGGGACCCCCACCUAACCCUGGGACCUCCUGCCCCGGGCGCGGAGCCCCACGGGGGGGCGCCCCGGGGCGCGCUGCCCCCGCUCCUCCCGGUCCCGUCCUGGUUAUUUAUAGUCCCCCCCCCCGCGGCAGCAGCUGCCGGGGUUACCGGGGGGGCUCCCCCCGGGCCCUGCGGGGCGGACGAGCCCCGGUCCCGGCAGGUGCACGCGUGGGGCCGGGCCCUGCGCAAGGCCCCCCCCCGGCUCCCCCCCAGCGCGGUGGCUCCACGCCGGGGCCCCCACGCAGCGGGACGGGGCCACGGGCGUGGGGGUGCGGGGAGCUGGGGGUCCCCGGGGGGCGCCGGUCCCCUCCCGGCCGGGGGUCCGCGGGGAGGGGUCCCUCCGGGUGCCGGGUCCCCGGUGAGGGGAGGGGGGGCGCGGGCCGAGGCGGGUCCCGGGGGAGGAGCGGCCGGGCGGCCCCGGCCAUUUCGGGCCAUGUUUCGGGGCCGCCCCCCCGCCCGUGUCCGGUUACAGCCCCCCGGGGCGCGGCGCGGGGCGCACGGAGCCGCCGUCCCCGGGGCGCAGCGGGCGCACGGAGGCGCCGUCCCCGGGGCUCUGCCCCUCGCCGUUCGCACCCCCCGAGCAGCCCCAUGUGAUUGGGACGGGGCCCCCCCCGCGGGCACGCGCACGUGGCUGCAGGGCCUGGCCAGGGCCGACGUGACGCAGCUCUCCUGGCAGCGCCGCUGGCACGCAGCGUGACCGUCCCG